GAUGAACGCUGGCGGCGUGCCUAAUACAUGCAAGUCGAGCGAACGGACGAGAAGCUUGCUUUUCUGAUGUUAGCGGCGGACGGGUGAGUAACACGUGGAUAACCUACCUAUAAGACUGGGAUAACUUCGGGAAACCGGAGCUAAUACCGGAUAAUAUUUUGAACCGCAUGGUUCAAAAGUGAAAGACGGUCUUGCUGUCACUUAUAGAUGGAUCCGCGCUGCAUUAGCUAGUUGGUAAGGUAACGGCUUACCAAGGCAACGAUGCAUAGCCGACCUGAGAGGGUGAUCGGCCACACUGGAACUGAGACACGGUCCAGACUCCUACGGGAGGCAGCAGUAGGGAAUCUUCCGCAAUGGGCGAAAGCCUGACGGAGCAACGCCGCGUGAGUGAUGAAGGUCUUCGGAUCGUAAAACUCUGUUAUUAGGGAAGAACAUAUGUGUAAGUAACUGUGCACAUCCUGACGGUACCUAAUCAGAAAGCCACGGCUAACUACGUG
rnacentral:rRNA from 1 species